UGGGUGGCGAGUGGCGGACGGGUGAGGAAUACAUCGGAAUCUACUUUUUCGUGGGGGAUAACGUAGGGAAACUUACGCUAAUACCGCAUACGACCUACGGGUGAAAGCAGGGGAUCUUCGGACCUUGCGCGAUUGAAUGAGCCGAUGUCGGAUUAGCUAGUUGGCGGGGUAAAGGCCCACCAAGGCGACGAUCCGUAGCUGGUCUGAGAGGAUGAUCAGCCACACUGGAACUGAGACACGGUCCAGACUCCUACGGGAGGCAGCAGUGGGGAAUAUUGGACAAUGGGCGCAAGCCUGAUCCAGCCAUACCGCGUGGGUGAAGAAGGCCUUCGGGUUGUAAAGCCCUUUUGUUGGGAAAGAAAUCCAGCCGGUUAAUACCUGGUUGGGAUGACGGUACCCAAAGAAUAAGCACCGGCUAACUUCGUGCCAGCAGCCGCGGUAAUACGAAGGGUGCAAGCGUUACUCGGAAUUACUGGGCGUAAAGCGUGCGUAGGUGGUUGUUUAAGUCUGUUGUGAAAGCCCUGGGCUCAACCUGGGAACUGCAGUGGA
rnacentral:rRNA from 1 species